rnacentral:rRNA from 1 species
AGAGUUUGAUCAUGGCUCAGGACGAACGCUGGCGGCGUGCCUAACACAUGCAAGUCGAGCGGUCCAGCACUCAAGCUUGCUUGAGUGCUGGGUAGCGGCGAACGGGUGAGUAACGCGUGGGUGACCUGCCCGGGAGACUGGGAUAACAGUUCGAAAGGGCUGCUAAUACCGGAUGAUCCCCAGCACUCAACCGAAGGAAUUAGGCUUGGUUUAGAAGAAGCCUUUCUGUAGGUUUAAUGAGGUUUUUUUCUAGGGUACAGCCUGGUUUUUUGGGUUGAGUGCUGGGGCAAAGCGUUUAGCGCUCCUGGAUGGGCCCGCGUCCCAUUAGCUAGUUGGUGGGGUAAUGGCCUACCAAGGCGGCGAUGGGUAGCCGGUCUGAGAGGAUGGUCGGCCACACUGGGACUGAGACACGGCCCAGACUCCUACGGGAGGCAGCAGUGGGGAAUUUUGCGCAAUGGGGGCAACCCUGACGCAGCGACGCCGCGUGGGUGAUGAAGGCCUUCGGGUUGUAAAGCCCUGUUGGGGGGGAAGAUAAUGACGGUACCCCCUGAGGAAGCCCCGGCUAACUACGUGCCAGCAGCCGCGGUAAGACGUAGGGGGCGAGCGUUGUCCGGAAUUACUGGGCGUAAAGGGCGUGUAGGCGGCCUUUCAAGUCGGCUGUGAAAUACCCCGGCUCAACCGGGGGGGUGCAGUCGAAACUGGGGGGCUUGAGUGCAGGAGAGGGGGGUGGAAUUCCCGGUGGAGCGGUGAUAUGCGUAGAUAUCGGGAGGAACACCGGUGGCGAAGGCGACCUUCUGGCCUGUUACUGACGCUGAGGCGCGAAAGCCGGGGGAGCAAACAGGAUUAGAUACCCUGGUAGUCCCGGCCGUAAACGCUGGGUACUAUGUGUAGGGGGCUUUGAUGCCUUCUGUGCCGUAGUUAACGCAUUAAGUACCCCGCCUGGGGAGUACGAUCGCAAGUUGAAACUCAAAUGAAUUGACGG